AGGGAAGUUAGAGGCAAGGAAGGUGUGGAGAGUACUGAUGGGAAAACUGAAGAAUAUAAUGAAGAUGGGAUAGAAGAAGGAAAUGCAAAGGAUGAAGAGGCACCCCGUGAGCCAAAUGGUGAGGCUGAUAAGGGGGAAGACAUCCCUGGGUUAGUUGAGCAGGUAGAGAGGGAAGAAGAAGAGGAUCAUGGUGCUAUGGAUGAUGAC
rnacentral:lncRNA from 1 species